rnacentral:rRNA from 1 species
AGUGAACGCUGGCGGUAGGCCUAACACAUGCAAGUCGAACGGCAGCACAGUAAGAGCUUGCUCUUACGGGUGGCGAGUGGCGGACGGGUGAGGAAUACAUCGGAAUCUACUUUUUCGUGGGGGAUAACGGAGGGAAACUUACGCUAAUACCUCAUACGACCUACGGGUGAAAGCAGGGGAUCUUCGGACCUUGCGCGAUUGAAUGAGCCGAUGUCGGAUUAGCUAGUUGGCGGGGUAAAGGCCCACCAAGGCGACGAUCCGUAGCUGGUCUGAGAGGAUGAUCAGCCACACUGGAACUGAGACACGGUCCAGACUCCUACGGGAGGCAGCAGUGGGGAAUCUUGCACAAUGGGCGCAAGCCUGAUCCAGCCAUACCGCGUGGGUGAAGAAGGCCUUCGGGUUGUAAAGCCCUUUUGUUGGGAAAGAAAAGCAGCAGGUUAAUCCCCCGCUGUUCUGACGGUACCCAAAGAAUAAGCACCGGCUAACUUCGUG